rnacentral:rRNA from 1 species
AGCGAACGCUGGCGGCAGGCCUAACACAUGCAAGUCGAACGAACCUUUCGGGGUUAGUGGCGGACGGGUGAGUAACACGUGGGAACGUGCCUUUAGGUUCGGAAUAACUCAGGGAAACUUGUGCUAAUACCGAAUGUGCCCUUCGGGGGAAAGAUUAAUCGCCUUUAGAGCGGCCCGCGUCUGAUUAGCUAGUUGGUUGAGGUAAUGGCUCACCAAGGCGACGAUCAGUAGCUGGUCUGAGAGGAUGAUCAGCCACAUUGGGACUGAGACACGGCCCAAACAGGGAGGCCGGACAGCGGUGGGUAGUAUUAUGGGAUGAGCGCAAAUCAAACAAAGCCGUGCGGAGGGGGAGGGAAAUGGGGUGGGAAUGGGAAAUUGUCUGUCCAGAAACGUGAGUGACGGUACUCGGUAAAGAAGCCCCGGCUAACUUCGUG